rnacentral:rRNA from 1 species
AGUGAACGCUGGCGGUAGGCCUAACACAUGCAAGUCGAACGGCAGCACAGUAAGAGCUUGCUCUUACGGGUGGCGAGUGGCGGACGGGUGAGGAAUACAUCGGAAUCUACUUUUUCGUGGGGGAUAACGUAGGGAAACUUACGCUAAUACCGCAUACGACCUACGGGUGAAAGUAGGGGAUCUUCGGACCUUGCGCGAUUGAAUGAGCCGAUUUCGGAUUAGCUAGUUGGCGGGGUAAAGGCCCACCAAGGCGACGAUCCGUAGAUGGUCUGAGAGGAUGAUCGGCCACACUGGAACUGAGACACGGUCCAGACUCCUACGGGAGGCAGCAGUGGGGAAUAUUGGACAAUGGGCGCAAGCCUGAUCCAGCCAUACCGCGUGGGUGAAGAAGGCCUUCGGGUUGUAAAGCCCUUUUGUUGGGAAAGAAAAGCAGCAGGUUAAUACCCCGCUGUUCUGACGGUACCCAAAGAAUAAGCACCGGCUAACUUCGUG